UACGUAGGCAGCGAGCGUUGUUCGGAGUUACUGGGCGUAAAGAGUGUGUAGGCGGUGCUCUAAGUUCGGUGUGAAAUCUCCCGGCUUAACUGGGAGGGUGCGCCGGAAACUGGAGUGCUCGAACGUGGGAGAGGAAAGCGGAAUUCCUGGUGUAGCGGUGAAAUGCGUAGAUAUCAGGAGGAACACCUGCGGUGUAGACGGCUUUCUGGACCAUUGUUGACGCUGAGACACGAAAGCGUGGGUAGCAAACAGG
rnacentral:rRNA from 1 species